rnacentral:lncRNA from 1 species
UCCGGAAUUGCAUUUCUCCUCUCUCUAGUGGAUCUCCUUAAUGGCACUUCAGUUUCUUGAGGUUGUUGAGUUUGAUUUUCAUUAGUAAUAUCAGGAACUGGAUUGGGGAGAUUUUUGAGAUUGUCUUGAACUGGAGUUGUGUGAUCCAUGUCAGAAAUAAGAACACCCUGACCAAGAUCAACAACUUGAGGGAAAGACACAUGUUCUUCCUCAAAGAC